rnacentral:ribozyme from 1 species
CCCGCUUAUCGACAACGUUGGACGCAAGCCUUUGCUCAUUUGGGGAACUACCUUUACAAUGGUCGCUUUCUUCCUCAUCGCAGUUGUGAUCUCUGCUUCAGGUGUG